rnacentral:rRNA from 1 species
UUAAUGGGUCGUGCACGCCUGAGCAUGCUCUUAUCCACCCCACCUCACCCCCUUUGUGCAUCACCGCGUGGGUCCUCUCUCUCUUGAGGGGGCUUGCGUUUUUCACACAAACUUUGAAAUGGCUCAGAAUGUUCUUUGCGAUGACACGCAAUAAAAAUACAACUUUCAACAAUGGAUCUCUUGGCUCUCGCAUCGAUGAAGAACGCAGCGAAAUGCGAUACGUAAUGUGAAUUGCAGAAUUCAGUGAAUCAUCGAAUCUUUGAACGCACCUUGCGCCCCUUGGCAUUCCGAGGGGCACGCCCGUUUGAGUGUCGUGAAAAUCCUCAAAGCCCUUUUCUUCGCUCGCUUAGAUCGAGGGAGAGGGCUUUGGACUUGGAGGUUCAAUGCUUGCCUUUCUUUGCCUUCUGAAAGCGUAAGCUCCUCUGAAAUACAUCAGUGGGGGUUCUGCGUUCGGCCCGGUCCACGACGUGAUAAGACCUUUUUACGUCUUGGGCUUGACCGUUGCUCUUCGAACGCUUGCUUCUAACCGUCCCAUGGACAAAAGAUGGAGUUCUGGUCGCCCGCCGUUCAUCGGUUGGGAAGGCUAGGCCCACAACACGCUACU